rnacentral:rRNA from 1 species
AUGUCGUCAUCCUCAAGCACCGUCCAGGCCUCUCUUGGGCAGGUUGCAGAGAAACUCACCCGCACCAACUACGUCCUGUGGCGUGCGCAGGUGACACCGCAGCUGAGGGGAGCUGGCUUCUUCGGCUACGUCGACGGAACCAUGCCGGAGCCCGUCAAGUUCCUCACCGCGAAGGACAAAGACGGGAAAGAGGAGAAAACUCCAAACCCUCUCCAUCCGAUUUGGUUCAGGGAAGGGCAGCAGGUACUCGGAUACUUGCUUAAUACCCUCACCAAAGAGGUCCUUGUGCAGGUUACAUCCAUAGCCACGCCGCACGAGCUCUGGGCAGCCCUCGCCCACAUGUUCUCGUCGCGAUCUCGAGCUCGCGUCAACAACAUCAGAGUUGCACUCUCCAUGGCGCAGAAGGGGACGCAGUCUGUUGCUGCCUACUUCGCCCACAUGAGGGCGCUGGCAGAUGAGCUCGCAGCCGCCGGGAAGCCCAUCGAUGAUGAUGAGCUCGUCUCCGACAUCACCGCCGGCCUCGACAUGGAGUACCAGCCACUCGUCUCCGCCAACCACGCCCGCACCAACACCAUCAACCUCGAUGAUCUCUACGCUCAGAUGAGCAACUUUGAUCAGCGCCUCGCCUUUUCGGAAACGUAG